rnacentral:misc_RNA from 1 species
GUACGGAGUGUAUCAAGGCAAGGACUACUGGCUGGUCAAGAACAGCUGGGGAACGUCUUGGGGAAUGAAUGGCUACAUCAUGAUGUCUCGAAACCAAAAUAACCAAUGUGGAAUCGCUAACCAUGCCGUUUAUCCUACUGUGUAGGACAGACAAUUUAUCAACAGAUCAAUAUUGCCCGGGCUCAGGAAAGUUUGUUAAAAAACUGACCCGAAUAAAAUAUUGAAUCAAACUAUAGAUUUAUAUUGUCACUAAUAACUCGAAUAAUGCAUGCGUUAUUGGAAUUGCCACUUCACUUAUUGUUUCACUGGGAAGGCUAUUUUGAUCUUUAAAAAUCUAAAAGGAUGCUUUGUUCUUGUAUCAUUCUAUCACAAUAAAAUGUACUUUUUGCUUUAUUGUU